UCCGCCGUGCCGGCCGUCGCUGCCAGAGCUAGCGUCGCGCCGUCGUGCGCCUGCGCGCCGCUGCCGCGUGCGCCGCGCCGCCGCCGUCGCGCCGCCGUGCGCGCUGCCGCCACCUGCUCUGUGCUGGCCGCCGUGAAGAAGCAAGCAGCAGCCAGCACCGAAGAAGCAAGCAAGCUGCCGGCAGAGCAAAGAAGCCAGGAAGAAAAAGGAGAAAAGAAAAGAAAAGAAAAGGAAAGAGGAAAAAAAAGAAGAAGAAAGAAAGGAAAAAAAAAAGGGGAAAAAAAGAAGGAAAAGGGAAAAGUUGGAAAUUUCGGAUUUUCGUCGGAUUCAUCGUCAAUCUUUCGAAGAUGGUACUAUUUUCGGACGUUCUUGAUCGAAUUUUCUUCAUCGUCGGUAAAGGCAAGUGAAUGUAUUGUAUGACUAUGCUUUAACCUAAUAUUGGGUUGCCUAUAUUCUUUAAUUACAGUGCAUUCAUCUAAUCUGAAUGACUGAUUCUGGGCUGAGUACUAUGUUGUUUACGUUUCCAGAAGUUUACUCGACGAUUGAUUUAUGAAGUGCAGUAGGCACGAUAUGCCAUUCUGCAGUUGUUCAUUAGUGUUGUAUGCAAUGUUUUUUUGAAGUCUCAAGCAUAUUCCGGAAGUUAUGUUGGUUAUGCUUGAAGCACGUCAUACAUAUACGUCUCAUGCAUUGGAAGUUUGUCGUCGUCUUCUGGCCGCGACCGUACCGGUACAGUACCGUAUGUCACCCGAGGAGGGGUACGGUGCACACCCUUACGUUACCCGAGGAGGGGUAUGUUUAGAUGUUGACGUGCAUUUUGGGGAUGGAUCUCGGUAGCUGCACACACUAACUUAUCACGAUGUCGAUAGCUCAACCGGUGUAUACAAGUGGUGUGUCUGAUGGUCUGUCGUUUGUUUUUGUUUAUGUUGUGGUACGACGCUGGUAGCGUCGUGGUGGACUCUAUAUAUAUGCUGGUUAUAUCUGUUUCUGCCUGCCUGUGAUAUUUCUUUUGGUCAGUUAUACCUCUCUAUAGAGGAAAUACUGCCAAAAUUUCCUUUUUUUUUAUAUAAAUAGGCUUGGUUGUAAAGUAGGGUGUUACAGCUUGGUAUCAGAGCCUAGGCUUUAGAUCCUAGGUAAUUGAAUGAUAAACCUGACACACUUGCACAAAUAGGAUGGGUAUGGGAUGCAUUGCAUUGCAUACGUCUUGUUUAUCUUUGUUCGCUUAUGUUCACUAUCUCAUAUAAGUACUAUUGAAGUUGUUUGUUUGAUUGUCCACAUAUUCUUUAGUGUUUUAUCAUUGAUAUAUAUUGUUAAGUUGUUGGAGUCAGUUCCGUUGGAAUGGUGAAAUUGUCAGGGCGUUAAAUUUGUUACCUUGGCCAUUAGAACCUGAGAAGCUUCAGAGGAUCAAUAGUAUAAUUGUUGUAUGGCACUGCAGAUAGGUUAAGUGGAGGGCCCCCAUGAUGCCUUUUCUGCAUUGUCAGGUGAGGUUGACCAAGAGUUAGGUUUGCGAUCCAACUAUCCACAUACAGAGCGAAUAUUUGGGGUACGAGAUGGACUGGCCCCCAUGUCGUUGACCCUAACUAUUCGUUCUCGAAAUGUCGGAGAAAUGGAUCGAUGUGUGCCUUACCAUAUAAGAUAAGGUGAUAAUGUUUUCAACCUAACCAUUAGAAUGGUGUAGGAUUUCUUUUCCCCAUGGAGUCGGGGCAAUCUUUUUGCCGAUUGUGUGAAAAUGUGUUGACAGUGAGAUCCUAAUAGGGUUCUGGGAGUUUUUCUAAUCUUUUGCUAGACUUGUACCCUAGUUGUUGAUGUUUUGAGGAUUAGUUAACACCUCGUGUUUAAGUUGAAAUGUUUACAUACCUUAUGUGUCAGUUUCUUUAAUAUCUGAGAAUAAUCUUUUAUGGUUGGAAUAUCUAUGCAUGUUUUGAAAUGAUUAUUUGAGGUAGUUAUUUUGUUAAGUUAGCCUUUGUGGAAGAGUCCACUGGCUAUGGGAGUUGGAGUCAUCGAUUGCGUUGCAGCGACUGAUUCGCGUCAUAGUGACGCUAGUGGAGUGACGCCUAGGGCGUUGGUGUUGUUUAGAGGUUGUCGGAAAAAUUGUGGCCUAUAACAUCAUUAUGAGGUGCUAUGUUGGCGUGUCGUUAUGGGAGUUGGUAGUUGAGUUUGAUAAAUUCUACUCGCCGAGUAGAUUCCGAAGAUAAGGGUUAUUUGAAUCUUUCCUGGCUAAGUAACCGGAGGUAUCACUAGAGCCUGUUGUAGCAAUUCUUCGAGUGGUUCUUGGUAUGUGGUUUGCUUUGAGACUUUCUUUCUUAGAUUUCAUGAAUUGAGUGGAUCUGAAGAAGUGGCUAGAUCCUGGCUUAAGAUUUUCCCGCAAUGGAGCAGGUUUGUGUUUGUUGCUCCAGUUUAUUCUCUAAGCUGAAGUUUUA